UACAGAGGGUGCAAGCGUUAAUCGGAAUUACUGGGCGUAAAGCGUGCGUAGUCGGUUAUUUAAGUCGGGCGUGAAAGCCCCGGGCUCAACCUGGGAAUUGCGUUCGAUACUGGAUAGCUAGAGUUCGGCAGAGGGAAGCGGAAUUUCGGGUGUAGCGGUGAAAUGCGUAGAUAUCGAGAGGAACACCUGCGGCGAAGGCGGGUUGCUGGGCCGACACUGACGCUGAUGCGCGAAAGCCAGGGGAGCGAACGGG
rnacentral:rRNA from 1 species